rnacentral:rRNA from 1 species
CGCCUGAUUAGCUAGUUGGUGGGGUAACGGCCUACCAAGGCGACGAUCAGUAGCCGAACUGAGAGGUUAAACGGCCACAUUGGGACUGAGAUACGGCCCAGACUCCUACGGGAGGCAGCAGUCGGGAAUAUUGCGCAAUGGAGGAAACUCUGACGCAGUGACGCCGCGUGCAGGAAGAAGGUUUUCGGAUUGUAAACUGCUUUAGACAGGGAAGAUAAAAGACAGUACCUGUAGAAUAAGCUCCGGCUAACUACGUGCCAGCAGCCGCGGUAAUACGUAGGGAGCAAGCGUUAUCCGGAUUUAUUGGGUGUAAAGGGUGCGUAGACGGGAAAUUAAGUUAGUUGUGAAAUCCCAUGGCUCAACUGUGGAACUGCAACUAAAACUGAUUUUCUUGAGUACUGGAGAGGAAAGUGGAAUUCCUAGUGUAGCGGUGAAAUGCGUAGAUAUUAGGAGGAACACCAGUGGCGAAGGCGACUUUCUGGACAGAAACUGACGUUGAGGCACGAAAGUGUGGGGAGCAAACAGGAUUAGAUACCCUGGUAGUCCACACCGUAAACGAUGGAUACGAGGUGUAGGGUGUGAUGAACAUUCUGUGCCGUCG